UAGUAGGGUGAAUUAAUAUCAAUAAUUUAUUUUAUUUUUAGUGUAAAUAAAAUAUGUAAGUUGCAAAACAUAAACUUUUAUUGGAUUAUAUAAUGGUCUUCCAUAUUUCUCUAUUUAGAUAUGUAGUAAUGUAAUUAUGACCUUAAUGGCUUUCCUUAUGAUUAAACCAUGCAUGCAGUUGUUGUUCAUGGUCUAUUUAAUUCAUUUUGGUUGGCUAAGCUUAGUGUCAAAGGUUAUAUGUCAUGGGUUUUGUGAGUUCUGUUGGAUUUUUAGAUAGUCAGUUGUAUUCACUAGCAGAGUGUUGAAGGGUGGUUUUCUUUGCAUAUCUUUUGACAUCUUUUUUUCUGACUUGAGGUAAGAAAAUGAAUCUUAACAUAUUUAUUGGUGUGAAUGUGUUAAUGAAUGAAAGAAAUGAAAUUAUGUACUUUAUUUCAUAUUUAACAAAGGAGUAAAAUAGAAUUAAUAUUUUAUACAGGUUCCUUGAAAAUCAGUUAUCUUCCUAUUUUUGAUAUUUUGGCUCUGGUACCAUAUAUCUGAGCUGCUAUUUACAUGUCAGAAAUAGAUUUAUUUCUUCAAUAAACUCAUAACCUGUCA